GAGACAGGUGCUGCAUGGCUGUCGUCAGCUCGUGUUGUGAAAUGUUGGGUUAAGUCCCGCAACGAGCGCAACCCUUAUCCUUUGUUGCCAGCACGUAAUGGUGGGAACUCAAAGGAGACUGCCGGUGAUAAACCGGAGGAAGGUGGGGAUGACGUCAAGUCAUCAUGGCCCUUACGAGUAGGGCUACACACGUGCUACAAUGGCGUAUACAAAGGGAAGCGACCUCGCGAGAGCAAGCGGAACUCACAAAGUACGUCGUAGUCCGGAUUGGAGUCUGCAACUCGACUCCAUGAAGUCGGAAUCGCUAGUAAUCGUAGAUCAGAAUGCUACGGUGAAUACGUUCCCGGGCCUUGUACACACCGCCCGUCACACCAUGGGAGUGGGUUGCAAAAGAAGUAGGUAGCUUAACCUUCGGGAGGGCGCUUACCACUUUGUGAUUCAUGACUGGGGUGAAGUCGUAACAGGGUAACC
rnacentral:rRNA from 1 species